CAUCUAUGCAGGUUAAGCUGAAGUUACAGAGAAACUAAAGAAAGUUCUGGACUCCUGAAGAUUGGCCUCACCUUCUUCCUCUGUCUCGGACUUUCUCCUGGAGGUUUUUCAGCGAUGACCAGAGCUGGUUGAAUCCUCUAAAAUCCCAAGCAAUGCUCCAUCCAACGUCACUGAGCAUCAUCAGGAGGCGCUCUGAGCAAAGCAGAGGAAGAAACAGGAGGUGGUUCAGUUUGUUCUCCAGAAAAACUUCAUCCAAGGUUGUUUCUGGCAGCUUAAUAGAUGAAUCAGAGAUAGGAUGAGCAGAAGUAGAAUCAUUUGGAGGUUUAGUUUUAUUAAAACAUUAAUAUUUUCUGUCAUGGUUCUUAAUUAGAGUUGUGGUUUGUGUGAUUUUGUUUGUUUUUACAGUUUUUCCUGCUCACAAAAUGGACAUUUUUAAUUCAGUAAACACAAAAAUGAG
ensembl:lncRNA